rnacentral:lncRNA from 1 species
AGAUUACAUAGUUUUUUAUUCUUGUAAGUGUGGGCGUGACUCUCCAAUUUCUACUUGCUACAUAGAAGCCAGAAGCCUUCUCAUGUAGAACUUUUAAGCCAUGUUAAAGAGUUUAUAUUUUAUCCCAAAUGCAAUAGGAAGCCAAGGAAGGGUUUAAGCAGAGGAUUGAUUGGCCUGGAUUUGUAUUUUUUAAAAUCACAAGUUUAAUAUUUACUGGGUUUGCAUUGUAUGCCAGGAACUGAGGUUUCCAAGAUAAAUUUUAAAAUAGUGGGAAGAGUGUCCUCAAAUAGUUCAUAAUCAAGCAGAUUAGUCUUACUGACUGUAACAAAUAACUCACAAAAUUCAGUGUAAAGGCUAUAAAUGAAUAUCCAAGCAGAGUGCUCUGGGAGAAUUAAGGAAGGGAAAUUUCAUUUUGGCACACAGGGUAGAGAUGAUAGAAAAUGACAAUCAAGUUAUAUCUUGAAAUUUAAGCAGGAUAUAUAAGGUUUCAGAAGAACCUCACACAGGAUGAAUGUCCAAGGUUUUCUUAUAACUUGCUUUCUAAGUAACAUUAUUUUAAUUCCUUGUCUUUUAUUUUUGGGUAAUGACUUCCUAAGAAGGCAAGGAAAAUAUUCAGGUAUACCAACCAACCACCACCACCAUAAACUUACUUUUUAUCAAAAGGCAUCUCUAGGCUUUGAUAUGUAUAAAUGAUGGCUAGUUUCCUGAUAUAGAAUAAUAGAAAUUUUUUUAAAACUUUUGGAUGUUAUUACUAUGUAUUACUGUAGUUCUCAGGCUGGCUUACUAUCAGAAUUCCCUUAAAUGCUUUUACGAAUGGAGAUCUCUGGGAUCCAAAGGUUCUGACUCAUGUUGUGGAGGCCAGGAUUCUGUACUUUUUUGAAGCUCUUACAGUGAAGCCAAAGACAAGCUAGUUUAGGGCAGAUUGUCUCCCAUAUUUAGAGUCUUUUUGUUUUAGUUUGAGUUCCCCCAAAAGCAGAUUCUGAGACAAAGACAUAAUUUUAGACUGUUUAUUUUGGAGGUGACCUCAGAAAGCAUAAGUGAGGAAGUGGGGAAAGUAAAAGAGGGAAAGGAAAGAAAUCACUACAGUGCAAGUAAAUGAGUGUAUUGCUUCUUGGGGCAUGUGGGGCUCAAUCCCACUGAAACUUUCUGAGAAACCUGUAUAUAGUCCUUCCUGAAAAGGCAACCUUUGACCAUGUAACUGAGUUUGCUUACCAUGUUUUGACCACUAUAUCUCUGUCUUCAGGGAUGAGCACCUGACCCAAAGGCCGCCAACCAAUAAACUAGCCAGUGUCGUGUGUGAUACGAAACAAGUCCACUUGAUCAGAUUCUCUCAGAAGAACAAGGAUGUUUGAAACUGGGUGUGAUACCAUGGAUUACAGAUGGCUCCAUGAUAAUCAAGUUGAAGAACGAGAGAGUAGAGAUAUCCUGGAGAUGGAAAGGAUAUCUUGAGGAAUACCAUUUGGGAAAUAACUCUCCACUUGGAAAGGACCAGGAAACAAUAGUCAGGCAGAGAGCACCGAGAUCUAUGCCUUUACUGAGAGAAGAUGUGUCUCAAAAGCAGAGCCCUGGGCUGUGAGCUGCAGGGAGUUAGGACUCAGCUUCCUUGCUAUGUACGUGUUCGUGUGGUUUUGAGGAACUUUGACAUCCCACCAACUUCACCUAUCACGUUCAUCCCAGCCUAACCUUAGUGUCACUUUUCCUCUUCCAAGGGAUGAGUGGGUUUGACCAGCUGAGCUAUAUGAUGUUUUCCAGGUUUAAAAUUCUAUGGUUCAUUCAUUCUGAUGCAAAUCUUUGAAAUUUCCUACUUUUUUUUUUAACACUUUCAACCCCUAAUUGGAUAGUGUCUAAGUAAGUCAGAAUAUAUGCCAAGGUGGAUCACAGAAAUGUUUUUCUCCUUUGAAUACCUCCUAAAUUUAAGGGAGGAAAGCAGACCAUGAGGAAAAGCAUACAAUC